rnacentral:tRNA from 1 species
GUGGCGUUAGCUCAGUGGCGAGAGCGCUGUGCUGUGAACACAGAGGACACGAGUUCGAAUCUCGUCCGUCACCCCA